rnacentral:siRNA from 1 species
UGAUUGUGUUGUAGAUCACAA